GGGAAGGUGGCUCAGUGGUAAAGUGCUUGCCUUGCAUGCAUGAGGCCCUGGGUUCGAUUCCUCAGCCCA
rnacentral:tRNA from 1 species